UCAAAAACAUGUCUUAUUGAAAAUAAUUUUAGGUUUGACCUGCCCUCUGAAUUUUUGAAUGGCCGCGGUAUUUUGACCGUGCUAAGGUAGCAUAAUCAUUAGUUUCUUAAUUAGAAGCUGGUAUGAAUGGUUUUAUGAGAAAGUGACUGUCUCUGUUUAAAUAUAUUUGAAUUUUAUUUUUUAGUAAAAAAGCUUAAAUAAUUUUAAAAGACGAGAAGACCCUAUAGAGUUUUAUAAUAAAUUAUUAUUAUUAUUUUUUAGAAUUUUAAAUUUUUAAAUUAUUUUAUUAUUUAAUUGGGGUGAUUAAAAAAUAAAAUAAACUUUUUUUUAUAUUUUACAUAAAUUUGUGAAAUAUUGAUCCAUUAAUAAUGAUUAAAAGUUAAAAUUACCUUAGGGAUAACAGCGUAAUUUUUUCAAAGAGUUCUUAUCGAAGAAAAAGAUUGCGACCUCGAUGUUGGAUUAAAAAUAAUUUUUGGUGUAGAAGCUAAGUAAGUUAGGUCUGUUCGACCUUUAAAAUUUUACAUGAUCUGA
rnacentral:rRNA from 1 species